GUAUUAAUUGCGCAUUAUCGCAAAUAGUAAGACAUUCUACACAUGCAGUGGUUUUGUAUAAAAACGCAAAUGCCCCCUUUCGGAACAAACCAAAAGGAGAGCACCCACGCGGUGAUGCACAAAGGGGGUGAGAUGGAUUGUGAGAGAGCACCAGGGCGUGCACAAAGUUAGCGACAGCCCCGGCACCUCCGUUAUACGAUAAUGAUCCUUCCGCAGGUUCACCUACGGAAA
rnacentral:misc_RNA from 1 species